UGUUGAAAUUUUUAUCUAUUUUUAUUGUUAACAACUAACAUAGCAAACGCCACAUGUAUCUCGUGCUGACGUGCAAAGACUAGUUUUUAACAGUAGAAAUGAAUGAAAACUUUAACA
rfam:Gossypium arboreum cultivar AKA8401 contig_2323_3, whole genome shotgun sequence.